GACAGAGGAGGCAAGCGUUGUCCGGAGUUAUUGGGCGUAAAGCGCCCGUCGGCGGUUUGGCAAGUCUGGGGUUAAAGCCCGGAGCAUAACUCCGGAUCGGCCCUGGAAACUGCCAGACUAGAGUGAGGUAGGGGUUGCGGGAAUUCCCGGUGUAGCGGUGAAAUGCGUAGAUAUCGGGAAGAACACCAGUGGCGAAAGCGCGCAACUGGGCCAUUACUGACACUGAGGGACGAAAGCUAGGGGAGGGAAGGGG
rnacentral:rRNA from 1 species